rnacentral:rRNA from 1 species
CACGCUCUGUUUACACAUCCACUCACACCUGUGCACCCUCUGUAGUUCUAUGGCCUUGAGGACCCUGUCCCCUUGCCGUGGUCCUACGUCUUUACACACACGCCGUAACAAAGUCUCAUGGAGUGUAUGUCGCGUUUAACGCAAUACAAUACAACUUUCAGCAACGGAUCUCUUGGCUCUCGCAUCGAUGAAGAACGCAGCGAAAUGCGAUAAGUAAUGUGAAUUGCAGAAUUCAGUGAAUCAUCNAAUCUUUGAACGCACCUUGCGCCCUUUGGCUAUUCUGAAGGGCAUGCCUGUUUGAGUAUCAUGAACACCUCAACUCUCACGGUCCACCGUGAUGAGCNUGGACUUUUGGGGGUCUUGCUGGCCUAGCGUCGGCUCCUCUCAAAUGGAUCAGCUUGCCAGUGUUUGGUGGCAUCACAGGUGUGAUAACUAUCUACGCUUGUGGUUCCCCACCACGUAACCUUCACGAUGGAGGUUCGCUGGAGCUCACACAUGUCUCUCCUCAGCGAGGACAGCUUUUUGAACGUUUGAUCUC